AAUUUCAUAUAUCUGACAGAUGCGAAAGCAUAAAAGAGAAUCCGGAUAAAUCCGGAGCGGUCCCGCCACUGUAAAGGGAGUCUAUAUCAUAUAUGUCACUGGGUAACCGGGAAGGCGAUGUAGGCAAUGAACUUAAGCCAGGAGAACUAUCUGUCUAAGAAUCACCGUU
rnacentral:ncRNA from 20 species